rnacentral:rRNA from 1 species
UACGUAGGGCGCAAGCGUUGUCCGGAAUUAUUGGGCGUAAAGAGCUCGUAGGCGGCUUGUCACGUCGGAUGUGAAAGCCCGAGGCUUAACCUCGGGUCUGCAUUCGAUACGGGCUAGCUAGAGUGUGGUAGGGGAGAUCGGAAUUCCUGGUGUAGCGGUGAAAUGCGCAGAUAUCAGGAGGAACACCGGUGGCGAAGGCGGAUCUCUGGGACGGUACUGACGCUGAGACGCGAAAGCGUGGGGAGCGAACAGG